rnacentral:rRNA from 1 species
UCAAUGGAGAGUUUGAUCCUGGCUCAGGACGAACGCUGGCGGCAUGCCUAAUACAUGCAAGUCGAGCGGACCCGAGGUGCUUGCACCUCAAUGGGUCAGCGGCGGACGGGUGAGUAACACGUGGGCAACCUGCCCAACAGACUGGGAUAACUCCGGGAAACCGGAGCUAAUACCGGAUAUCCUCUUUUCACCACCUGGUGAAAAGAGAAAAGGCGGUUUCGGCCGCCACUGUUGGAUGGGCCCGCGGCGCAUUAGCUAGUUGGUGAGGUAAGGGCUCACCAAGGCGACGAUGCGUAGCCGACCUGAGAGGGUGAUCGGCCACACUGGAACUGAGACACGGUCCAGACUCCUACGGGAGGCAGCAGUAGGGAAUCAUCCGCAAUGGGCGAAAGCCUGACGGUGCAAUGCCGCGUGAGUGAUGAAGGUUUUCGGAUCGUAAAGCUCUGUUGUGAGGGAAGAACAAGUUCGGGAGGAAAUGCCCGAGCCGUGACGGUACCUCACCAGAAAGCCACGGCUAACUACGUGCCAGCAGCCGCGGUAAUACGUAGGUGGCAAGCGUUGUCCGGAAUUAUUGGGCGUAAAGGGCACGCAGGCGGUUCUUUAAGUCUGAUGUGAAAGGCUGUGGCUCAACCACAGAAUUGCAUUGGAAACUGGAGAACUUGAGUGCAGAAGAGGAGAGUGGAAUUCCACGUGUAGCGGUGAAAUGCGUAGAUAUGUGGAGGAACACCAGUGGCGAAGGCGACUCUCUGGUCUGUAACUGACGCUGAGGUGCGAAAGCGUGGGGAGCAAACAGGAUUAGAUACCCUGGUAGUCCACGCCGUAAACGUUGAGUGCUAGGUGUUAGGGGUUUCGAUACCCGUAGUGCCGAAGCAAACGCAUUAAGCACUCCGCCUGGGGAGUACGACCGCAAGGUUGAAACUCAAAGGAAUUGACGGGGGCCCGCACAAGCGGUGGAGCAUGUGGUUUAAUUCGACGCAACGCGAAGAACCUUACCAGGUCUUGACAUCCUUUGAUCGCUCUAGAGAUAGAGUUUUCCCUUCGGGGACAAAGUGACAGGUGGUGCAUGGUUGUCGUCAGCUCGUGUCGUGAGAUGUUGGGUUAAGUCCCGCAACGAGCGCAACCCUUGACCUUAGUUGCCAGCAUUUAGUUGGGCACUCUAAGGUGACUGCCGGUGACAAACCGGAGGAAGGCGGGGAUGACGUCAAAUCAUCAUGCCCCUUAUGACCUGGGCUACACACGUGCUACAAUGGACGGUACAACGGGAAGCGAAGCCGCGAGGUGGAGCCAAUCCUAAAAAGCCGUUCUCAGUUCGGAUUGUAGGCUGCAACUCGCCUACAUGAAGCUGGAAUCGCUAGUAAUCGCGGAUCAGCAUGCCGCGGUGAAUACGUUCCGGGCCUUGUACACACCGCCCGUCACACCACGAGAGCCAGCAACACCCGAAGUCGGUGAGGCAACCGUUUACGGAGCCAGCCGCCGAAGGUGGGGCCGGUGAUUGGGGUGAAGUCGUAACAAGGUAUCCCUACCGGAAGGUGGGGAUGGAUCACCUCCUUUCU